rnacentral:rRNA from 1 species
UCUGAAUAUGGGGGGACCAUCCUCCAAGGCUAAAUACUCCUGACUGACCGAUAGUGAACCAGUACCGUGAGGGAAAGGCGAAAAGAACCCCGGCGAGGGGAGUGAAAAAGAACCUGAAACCGUGUACU